rnacentral:rRNA from 1 species
GUAGGUGAUCAUACUUUUACUAAUUCAUUGGAUCCCAUCUGCAUUUCGAAGUAAAGUAUGCUUGAGUGAGGAUAGUAUUAGGAUGGGUGAUUUCUCGGAAGUCCUCGUGUUGCAUUCU